rnacentral:lncRNA from 1 species
GUAAGUUUGACAGUUGACUUCACAAGAGUUAGGAGCAUUAAUUCUGAAAAUAAAUUAAUUGAGAAUAAAUAAAUGUCCUUAAGUGAAAAUAAAGCAUAGCAGUAAAACAUUAAAAAGUGAAUAUUGCAGUAAAAUAAAAAAGGCACUAAAAUUACAGUGAGUAUCUGAGGCAGAAAAAAAGAGACUAGACCAAAUUGUUAGUUGAUAUAAUUCACUGGAAGGACACCUGCAUGGAACACGGACAGCCUUUUCGUUGAUAUCUUUCCCAGGGAGCAAUGUCUCAGACACUGUAUUGGCAAUUCUUUCCCGGUGUGGUGGUUUUCUCAAACUAUGGUGCUACUAAGGAUUUUCUUGGGAGACCUUGUGACUGCAUUGGCUGGUUGGAGCUGUGUUUGAGAGGCAAGAUACCUUUCCGACUCAGAGGGAAAGAAAACUCAAAUUUAUUCCAGAUAUAAUUUUAAAAAUAGCCUCUAUGGGCUAUAUGCUCAGAUCAGGUGAACUGGUGAGGACUUUGCUGCUCAUGGGUUCUGCAUGAGGAUGCUGCUUCUCUUCCAGAAUUGUCAUCCCUUAUUUUCACUUUGCAGAGUGAACAUGACUAUGUGGAAAGAAGAAGAGGGAGGACUCAUGGACAGGGGACUUGAUUCUUGCCUUGCAGUAGUUUUACUACGUGUCCCUCCAUUGAACUUGCUAGGAUUAGAUCAGCGUGAGUGUGGAUUUCUAGCUGCGCAUAUUCUUGAUUUUACUUGUGGAUAUUAUGGCAAUCAACAUGUUUGCAGUGUGGGAUGUGUCCUUCAGCUGUACUGGGAUAUUUUCUAUUAGGAAAGCAAUUUCUGCAGAAAAGUUCUGAUAUGGUCUACUAACUAGAGCAUCUGGUGCACCCAGCUGGCCUAAGGUAAGAUGUACUAUAAGUACAUAACAGCAGAUAUUUGCCUAACUCGUUCCCUCUAAUCGUAUGUAGGCGAGCCUUCGGUCUCUCCAAGAAACUAUUCUGGUGUCUGCCCCUUAAUGUCCUUGCCACGAGCCAGACCUUGUCCUUGGCCUGUCUGCAGUGAAAAGGAGAACAGAGGAGUCCCUCCUUUUGGCAGACACUUAUGGAUCAGAAAACAGAGCAUUUUUCUGUUAACUUCUCGUAGAGCGACAGCGUGUUGUAUGUCAUUAGGAUUUAGCAUGAGGUGAGACAAAGAGCUGUUUAAUCACAAGAAACGUGAAGACCAACCCAAGCAUGCCCUGUUUGCUCUAGAGGAGGUCAAACUGUGGCAGUGAGGCAUAAAAGUCUAAGUCCCUUCCAGACGUCCUACUUGCUUCUGCCUUGAGCUGCUACAGAAAAUAUAAG